UGAGGGAAUAUUUGGGGUCAAUGGACGGGAGUCUGAACCAGCCAAGUAGCGUGCAGGACGACGGCCCUAUGGGUUGUAAACUGCUUUUAUAGGGGGAUAAAGUGUGCCACGUGUGGCAUAUUGCAGGUACCCGAAGAAAAGCAUCGGCUAACUCCGUGCCAGCAGCCGCGGUAAUACGGAGGAUGCGAGCGUUAUCCGGAUUUAUUGGGUUUAAAGGGUGCGCAGGCGGCGCGCCAAGUCAGCGGUCAAAGUUCCGGGCUCAACCCGGUGUCGCCGUUGAAACUGGUGUGCUCGAGUGCGUGCGAGGAAGGCGGAAUGCGUUGUGUAGCGGUGAAAUGCAUAGAUAUGACGCAGAACUCCGAUUGCGAAGGUAGCUUUCCAGCGCGCUACUGACGCUGAGGCACGAAAGCGUGG
rnacentral:rRNA from 1 species